AUUGAACGCUGGCGGCAGGCCUAACACAUGCAAGUCGAGCGGAGCGGCGGACGGGUGAGUAAUGCCUAGGAAUCUGCCUGGUAGUGGGGGAUCACGUCCGGAAACGGGCGCUAAUACCGCCUACUAUAAGAUCAGCCUCGGUCGGAUUGGCUAGUUGGUGGGGUAAUGGCCUACCAAGGCGACGAUCCGUAACUGGUCUGAGAGGAUGAUCAGCCAAACUGGGACUGAUACACGGCCCAGACUCAUACGGGAGGCAGCAGUGGGGAAUGUUGGACAAUGGGGGAAACCCGGAUCCAGCCAUCCCGCGUGGGCGAUGAAGGCCUUCGGGUGGUAAAGCACUUUUGGCAGGAAAGCGGUACCUGCAGAAUAAGCACCGGCUAACUACGUGCCAGCAGCCGCGGUAAUAC
rnacentral:rRNA from 1 species